ACCUUGUAAUAAUCGAGACCACGAUAAUUGUCCAGUGCAGCUUCGAGGAAUCUGGAAACAUAUUCACCCAACAUAAUAUCUCUGUAAAUUGCCGGAUUUUCUUGUGAUAUCAUCUCUUUUAUGGGGCCGUAAAUCUUAUUCGAAUUAUUUAUAUUUCCCGAGAAAAAACAUGCCACGGAUAUUCUCGGUCCGACGUAGCUAGUUAUUGCUCUGUGCUCGUUGCUUCUGAAUCUCCCGUUCGAUACCAACUAUACAAUGAUAUAUAUUACAAAAAAAAAAAAAAAAAUCAACGCCAGAAUAAUAAAAAUUAAAUGAGUUUACUACCGUCAGUACCCUAGUCUUUUUUUCUUUAAUUAUCAAUUUCUUUUAGUAAACUCAUUAUUUAGGGGUUGAGUGCUAAAAAAGUAUAUUAUAGUGUUUUUGUUUUUUUUUGCUAAUAUUAAUAAUAUGAUGAAAUUAUAGUUCCCAUCCCUCAAGUUUGCAUUGAUUUCAAUCUAGUCUCCAUGUUGACAAAAAAUACAUUUGGUCCCUCGUGUUUCAAUAAUUUACACUUUCGGUCAUUUCCGUCAAUUUACCGUCAAGACAGUGAUGGCCCCAUGCUUGAUUCCAUUAGUACUGACAGAAAAUUGAUGGAAAUGACUAAAAAUGUUAAAUUUCUGAAACGUGGGGGACCAAAUGUGUUUUUUGUUAACAUGAGGGACCAAAUGUGAAAUCGAUGCAAAAUUGAGGGACAUGAAAUGUAUUUUUCCCUAAUACAGGGGUACACAAUGCAAUAAAUAAAAUUAGAUACCUGGAGAAGAUCACCAAUGUUUAUUACUAAACCUCCUCGAAUAGGUUGAAUGUCAACCCAUUGAUCUUGAUACAAUACUUGGAGGCCGUUGACAACUUCGUCUUGUAGAAGAAUUGUGAGGAAUCCGGCAUCGGAAUGUUUGCCCGUCCCGAUAGCUAGUUCGGGCUCGGGGCACUUCGGAUAGUAGUGACAGUGGAGGCGGUGUCCAUCGGAGCAUUCCAUGUUUUUCAGGCGAUCCGUUUCGAGCCCCAGUGCCUCGGAUAAUAUCUCGAGCAGAGUAUUUCCCAAAUUUUCGACGUGUUUGGAAUAUUCCAAAGCCGGUUCCCUGUCGAUCGAGUUUUAAAACAAUCACUAAGUACAGUUAAACUUCUCUAAAUUAAUACAGUCGGGACUAGGGAAAUCCUAUUAAUUUAGCGAAUUAUUAAAUUAUCGAGUUAAUAAUUUAACACGUUUUCACCGAGUCAAGACUGAGAGAAACUAUUAUUUAAUCGAGGUUAUUAAUUUAUCGAGUAUUAAUUUAUCGAUGCUCUGAUGUAUGCAAAACCGUAUAUAACCAAUUAAGUAACUACUGGCCAAACCUCACUAGGGUUCAAUCCUGUGCAUCUCAAUUUGUAACAUGAUUUGAAUUUAAUAAAAUAAAAUAAGUAGCUACUUAAAAAAAUGGUUAAUGAAGGUCAAAAGACUCAAAACACAAAUGCAACUGAGUCCGAGUCGAAUAUAAGGACACAAAUAUUAAAGGCCGCGGCCCGUAAAAUUUCAUUUGCAGAUCCUAAAGAGUCCCACGGGCCGCGGCCGGAAUCAAAUUUCAAAUGUGGAAUUUUGAAAUUUAAUUGAGUCUAAAUAUGGGAUCUAGAUACUAACUGACUUAUUUACACUGGAUGAUUGUUAACUAUUGAUGGGUUAAAUAACCUCCCAGUAAAUACACAUACACAUAACAUGCACAUAGAUAUGUGUGUGCAAUUAUGUACAGAUCGACAGUUAAUAAUCACUGAUUAAUAAAUAAUACCUGCAAGAAGGAGGCAAUUCAUCUUGAUCAAUGGGAUCAAGGCCAGAGAAGGAAAUGGUCAAAGAAUCCCUCCAGCUAGCAGUUCUUGAUGUAAACAAAUCAUAGCUGCUAUUAAAUCUCACUCGUCUCGUGUUAUCUCGCGAGUAAUACUUCUUCUUCUCCUCGAUAUUUUGCUCGUUAAAAUGGCGGACUCCGUCGAUCAUCCCAUCAAGAACCGUUUGAGGAAUCCCAUGAUUCACAACCUGGAAAAACCCCCACGUUUCCGAUGCAAUUCUCGCUUCUUCGACAAUCUUCUUUCGCCUUUCCGAAUCAUCGAUUUCGCUCAGAUCAAUCACCGGAACUUGAAGUUGAGUCUUUUUGUAUGUUAAUUCCUCAGCUAGUUCAUCGGGUGGCCUCACAAAAAUCUUGGGAAUUUGGAGCAGUCCGGAAUCGGUUAGGCCUUUGACGCCGGCUUUUGUUUCGUCGAAGGCUUUUAGCAUUGACAUUCUGUCGAACACCUGGUGUUCAUUAUCUGAGGGACUAACUACUCCUGCCAUUUAGUUGUGAUUGUCCUUGGUUUGUUUUUUCUUACUUGAUUUUUUUGUAAUAGAGAGAGUGGUUCUGAAUCUGAUUUGUGUUUUGAUGAUCAAAUUUGGCAAUAUUUUAUCUCUACUUGGGGCCCCAAACUAGUGACUUGCAUUAUUGUUUUUUAGUCAACUUUAUAUUGGGAUAAGGUAUUUAUCACAUGUUAGUUUAGUUCAAUUUGUUUGGCUUUAUAUGUAUUUUAUUAAUUAUUAUGUGAUUGUGGGAGAGUAAUAACAAAAUAGAUUAAAUUACACCCAUGAUCCACCGGGAGUUAGAUACUAUACCUGGUUAUUUAUAUUGGGUGGAUUUGAAUCGUAGAUUUGAUCAAAUAACUAUCUACUAAGAGCACAUACACGUGCGUGUGUGCGAUUAUGUGUAAAUCUAUGGUUCAAAUUCAUCCACUGUAAAUAAAUCCGGUGUAGCAUCUAAUUUUUCCGUGAUCCACCUACUUAAGAUUUUGCAUAAUCUCAGCUAUACCCACCAAGUUUGAAAAUAUAAAUAAAUAUCCUUUCAGGUUUGAUUACGUCAACUUGUUACACCAUUUGUGAUAACAAAGAACAAACUUUAUAAUCUUUACGGGAGUUAGAGUUACUAUACCUGGUUAUUUAUAUUGGGUGAAUUUGAAUCGUAAAUCUGAUUAAAUAAUUAUCCAAUAAGCACACAUACAUAUUGGGUGUGUGUGAUUAUAAAUAAUCAGGUGUAACAUCUAGUUACUCAUCCUUCACUUGUAUGCGAUGCCGAAAAAACAUAGUGAAAAAAAAGCACGCACUACACCAUAAACAAUAAUUUUUAGCAUUCAGUACACCUGUGUAAUCUCUAAUGACUAAAAAAGCCUUUAUGUUAAACCAAUUAACACAGUAAGAACCCUCCGAGUAAGAUAGUCAAAGCCAGUAAGAACCCUGUGAGUUGGUUGUGUGGUACACUCACCAAAUAUGCGAAUGGGGUUCGCUUUUUUGACGUGAAAAGACUCAAAUACCCUUUGAAUUAUAAAUUUUAAAAAUAAGCCCCAAAUAAAGCUUUCAAUAUUUUCAAUUGAGUCCCUUGAAAUUUCAGAAAAGCCCCAAGUCAGGAGACUGAAUUGCAAUUUUCCCAUUUAGGCACAAGGCCGAAUAAAAGAGGAAAGGCAAAAUUCCGGCGGCCCUUCAGCUUCGAUCACGGCUCCUCCACUACGAAAGGCAAAACUUCGGCGACGGAUAAAAAGGAUUCAAAUUAUUGAAUUGUAGAGUACAUUUAACUCAUUAUUCUCUCUAAUUUUGGAGCACCAUGUUCUCUCCAAACAAAAAAAAAACCCAAAUCUGAGACUCAACUCUCUUCUGACCAAGAUAAAAAAAAAAAAAAAAAAAUAGUGGAAAAUAUCUAAGAUUCAAGCUUAUUAUUCUUCUACAAAAUCCAUCAACAACUCGUGAAAAUCCAAGAAAACAUUUGCGCUCAUCGGAAAUUUUCAGAAUAAACAGAGCUUUUCAGAAGAAAAAAAAUCCAACAAAAAAAUUUAUUUUUUGCAUUUUUUUGGCUUCUUCUCCGACGUCUCUCGAUAGUAGCCCACCGUUAUACCCUUAUAGGCUUCCGUGGCUGCUGCUCCUUCGCCUUUGGUACCUUCAUUGCGAGUGUGGUGUACGAUACAGAGACGACCAUGGCAAAUGGCAGAUGAGAGAUCUAGAUGGCGGUGGAGAUGAAUGGGGAAGAACCAUGUUGAGUUGUAGAUGACAGACUUUUUUUAUUACAAUUUGUUUGGUGUGGUGGGGAGGUGGCACAUGGAAGACGACCCUUCAUUUAUUUUUAUUGAUGCUUUAUUUCCGCUAAGGGGCACUGAUGAACUAAAUAAAAUGCAACAUAAGGGGUAAUUGCUAAUUCUUUUAAUACGGGGACUUUUUUUAAGCCAUUACAGAUUACACAAGGAGAUAUGUUCAAAUAACUCCCAUAAACGAACAGCAAAAGAAAAACACGAUCUACACCGUAAACCGAAAGUGAAUUUAAUAAAUAAAAAAGAGCACUCCAUUGCACUGAAAAAUUACAGAUAUAAAAAAACACGAACGACACCGUAAUAUCUUCACACCUUGUAAUAAUCAAGAGCACGAUAAUUGUCCAAUCCAGUACUGAGAAAUUUGGUGACAUAUUCACCCAACACAACAUCUCUAUACUUUUGCGGAUUUUCUUCUGAUAAAAUCUCUUUAAUCGGCCCGUAAAUCGUACUCCCAUUAGCGGGCCCCGAGAAAAAACACACCACAGAUAUUAUAUUCUCGGUCCCGUCAAGCUUGCUAUUGCCCUAUGCGUGCUGCUUCGAAACCUCCCGUUCGAUACCAACUUAUAACAAAAAAAAAACAUUGAUUGUUGCAAUUAAGCAAACAAUAUAAUCUAGAGUUUAUUGCAAUUAGUACCCCGUUGUUAUAUUGAAUUGCUACAAAACCACCCCAUAUUAUUUUAUUAGCAAAAAAACCCCUAGCAAUUAGUAUCCCUGUGUAGGGGUUCUAUACUAUAAAAAAAAUGUAAAUAAAAUAACAUGGGAUAGUUUUUUGUCAAUCCGAUAUAACACAGGGGUACUAAUUGCAAUAAACUCUAGAGUCUAUGCAGAUAUAGAUAUAGUCAUAUAGAUAUAUAUAUACAGAUAUAGAUACCUGGAGAAGAUCACCAAUGUUUAUUACUAAAGCUCCUGGAAUGGGGUGAAUAUCGACCCAUCGGCCCUGAUAAAGAACCUGGAGACAAGUAUUGAUUUGGUUUUGGAGAAGUAUCGUAAGAAAUCCAGGAUCAGAGUGUUUUGUUGUCCCGAUAGCUAGUUCGGGUUUAGGACACGGUGGAUAGUAGUGGGCCCCGAGGCGGUGGCCCUUAGAGCAUUCCAUUUUUUCCAGGUGGUCGGAUUUGAGCCCCAUGGCCUCGGAUAAUAUCCCGAGCAGAGUAUUUCCGAAUUUCUCGACGUGUUUCGAGUAUUCUAGAGAUGAUUCCCUUGUAAAUCGUGCGUACGGAAAAGAAGAAUGUGAUAAUUAGUUCCGGAAUCUAUUGCUUAAAAAUGCAUGUAAUGAAUUAUUGGAACUUUUAAAUGACAGAUAACAUAAAUUUUUUUUUUUCUUUCUCUAAAGCGACAUAAUUUGGAACGACGUAGUAGUUUGUAAUUAUUUUCACGUUUUUCGUGUUAUGUUUUUUAAAUUGUUAGUGAUUUCAAUCAUUUAAUAUUUAAAUCUCUAAUAAAACUCAAGAUUAAUAUGGUAAAUAACACUUACCCCAUGUGGUUUGAACCCUGUGCACACUACCCCUUGUACUUUUAAAAAUCUCGUAUUUCUAAUGAGCAUGAUUAUUUAUCAAAUGGGUGCUUAUAUUAAAAAUAAAAGGGAGUCAUGUGCACAAAACUCAAACUACACAGGGUUAAGUGCAUAAAACUCAAACCACAGGGGGUUAAGUGCAAUUUACCGUUAAUAAUACCUGCAAGAAGGGGGCAAUUCAUCUUCAUCCAUUGGAUCAGGGCCGGAGAAGGAAAUGGUCAAAGAAUCCCUCCAGCUGGCAGUUGCUGACGUAAACAAAUCAUAGCUGCUAUUAAACCUCACUCGUCUCGUGUUAUCUCGCGAGUAAUACUUCUUCUUCUCCUCGAUAUUUUGAUCGUUAAAAUCGCGUAUUCCGUCUAUCAUCCCAUCAAGAACAGUUUGAGGAAUCCCAUGAUUCACAACCUGGAAAAAUCCCCACGUUUCCGACGCAAUUCUUGCUUCUUCGACAAUCUUCUUCCGCAUGUCCGCGUCAUCGAUUUCGCUCAGAUCAAUUACCGGAACUUGAAUUUGUGUCCUUUUGUACGUCGAUUCUUCAGCCAGCUCAUCGGGUGGCCGUACAAAAGUGGCGGGAAUUUCGAGAAGUCCGGAAUCGGUUAGCCCUUUGACGCCGGCUUUUGUUUCGUCGAAGGCUUUUAGCAUUUGCAUUCUGUCGAACACCUGGUGUUCAUAGUCUGAAGCAUCAAUUCCACCUGCCAUUUUCUUUUUUUUCUUUUUCUUUUUUUUUUCUUUUUUUUUUUUUUUUUGAGGUAGUGAUGACUGAUGAGUACUAAUGAGGUUAUGUACUGAUAUUACGAACACGAAGAAGUCAUCCACAAAAGAUUGCAACCAGGUGAAAUUAAGUGUGUUUACCCUUAUAUUGGAGUAGUUGGAAGAUGAGUAUGAUGGUUAGACAUUUGAAUAGCAUGACAUAAAAAACGUGGUUUGUUUCAUUACAUAAAGAUAAGGAUGAACUUUGUCUUCUCCAAAAGACAAAAGAUGAUGUCGUAACCGAUGACGUAUCUAUAUUCACCAGUCACCAGCGAUGGUCCAAAGAACCAAUAUCUUAUUUAUAGCAUUGCUUCACGUUUUUGUCGCGCUGUCUAAUAAAGUAAGGGCUCGUUUGGAUAGCUUACUUAAAAAAUAGGAACAAAUUACGGCCGCCUUUAAGAUAAAGUCAAAUUACGAAGAAAAAAACUCUCAUGUUUGGAUAAUUACAACCACACCAACUCAAUUACGAAUCUUCUUACACAUUCAUUCAUGCGGUGUCAAAUUUAGUAGAAUCUUCUAGAUUAUUUGAAAUGUUCUCCAAUUUGUACUCGUUUAUCCCAUUGGAGCUCCACAUUUUGAAAUAAGAUUGUAGACACGUAAAUUUAAUAUAAUUUAUAUUAUAUUAAAUUGAAUCCCAAGAUUAUAAUUUAUCUUGCAAAAUAAGUCAUGGAGAUAAUUAUCAAUUAAUUAUUGACCAAUAGGAUUGUUUCUUCUCUUCCAAGUUAUAAGAGAUAAAUAUCAAUUUAAAGAGAGCCAAUCAAAUCGUGCCACGUCAUCAAGUAGACUUUAAGUAGGACUCUUAUUCUACCACUAUAAAUAGGGACCCUCCAUACACAAUUCAAGACACAACCCAAGAAGAAGAAAAACCGUAGGAGAAAAUUCUCUCUACAAUAUUCAAGUCGUUCUUCAUCAAAUUCAAGUCGUUCUUCAUCAAAUUCAAGGCGUUCUUCAUCAAAUCGAGGACGUUCUUCAACAAAUCAAGAUCAAAGGAAGAUUGAAGGCCCAAAUCCAUCAAGAAUUCCAAGAUCUUCAAGUCAAAGCCCGUCAAAGUUCAACAAAUCAAGAUCGAAGGAAGAUUGAAGGGCCAAAUCCAUCAAGAACUCCAAGAUCUUCAAGUCAAAACCCGUCAAAGUUCAUCGUUCGAUCUGAUAUUCAAGUCGCAAUACCCUCGGAAGACGUUAUUCAAAUCCAAAUCAAAUCCGGAGAAGAUCAAGUCAACGACCCGACUCCGAAAUUCAAAGUCAAACGCACAUUAUUCUUGAGAGAAGAAUCAGAGGAUUAAAUUAGAGUUUGUAACCCGUAAUAUUUUAUUUUAAUUCAAUAAAUUAUUUUUGUGCAAGUUUUUUUCUUGUUUGUCUAAAUCGCAGAUAAGAAUUUGCUGCUACAAAGAUGAUUAUAAGAUGUGUCUCUUAGCUAAUUUGUACCCGUUUAUCCCAUUGAAGCUCCACAUUUUGACAUAAGAUAAUCAUAUGAUGUGUCUCUUAGCUUGUAAACAUCAGAUUGUGGUGCAUCGAAAACUGCAUUUUUGCACAAAACGAGUACUACUAAAGAAUAUUUCACGGAAUCUAGAAGAUUAUUUGAAUUUGCCACCGUAAGUGUGGACAUGUAAGAAAAUUUAUAGUUGAUGGGGUGAUUGUAAUUACGUAUACAAGAGUUGAGUCUUCAUUAAGUAGUGAAGUAAUAGCAAAUUAUUACAAUAGUCUUCACAACUUGUAGUAAUCAAGACCAAGAUUCUCAUCAAGUCCAACUUUCAGAAACUUGAGCAUAUAAUCACUCAAUAAUAUAUCUCUAUACUUAGUAGGAUUUUCUUCAGAAAUCAGCUCCUUGAUUGGUCCAUAAACUUUAACUUCACGAACGGGUCGAGAAAAAAAACAUGCCACCGAAAUCCUUGGUCCGAUUUUGUUUGCCACCACUCUAUGCUUAUUGCUCACAAAUUUCCGAUUCGACAUUAACUAUAUAUAUCCAUCCCGAAAUCAAUCACAACAAAUCAUAAUCCCGAAAACCAAAAACAUGAUUGUAAGAAAAUGGUCAAUUAUGAGAAAACCCCUGAACUACGGUCAAAUUAUAAAAUUACAUUGUCCCCCCCCUUAUACUGUGAAUUAUGACGGAAUCUGUUUUAUUUCAUGGAAUAAUAUUCCUCAAAAAAAUACCAAUUUUACCCUUAGUUUUUGUAAUUAGACCUUAGUUCAGGGGCUUUUGGUAAUUUACCCUAAGAAAGAAGGAAAGAAAAAUGUCACAAGUUUUAUAAGUACCUGGAAAAGAUCUGCAAUGUUUAUCACCAAACCUCCACGAGAGGGUUCGAUAUCAACCCAUGAUCUUGAUAAAAAACUUGUAAUCCAUUGCUUUCGUUUUGGAGAAAGAUUGUAAAAAAACCAGGAUCGGAAUGCUGAGUCGAUCCGAGAGUUAGUUGUGGCUCGGGGCACGGUGGAUAGUAGUGAGAGCUAAUAUGAUGACCUUUUGAGCAUUCCAAUAUGUUAUUUAAAUGAUCGGGUUUUAGUCCGAGGGCUUUGGAAAGUAGUUCGACUAGAGUGUCCGAAUUCUCGAUUUCGCUCAGAUCAAUCACCGGAACUUGAAUUUCAAAUGUGGAAUUGGCUCUGCUUUUCUAACUGGGUUUUACAUAAAAUAUGGAUUGUGAUAAGGCAUUUAACAAUUCAGCCCAAUUUUGUUUGAGUCCAUAUUUAUUAAUGUGUUUAUGGUAGAUAGGUAGAAUAAUAAUUGAAGGCAAGUGAACGAAAAUAAUAUCUUCUUUCGCAGGCCGGCAUUAAUACUUGGAGGGUGCAGGUGCAAUUAAUCUUAUAUAUAAAAGAAAGAAACGUUGGGUAACCCUAACAAACUCUAAUGGCAUUUAUGUAAUUAAUAUUUUAAUAAUUUUUUUUUUGUACUCAUUUUCUAACUAUAUUUUCAGCAAUUAUCAAAAUUGACACUGAACCGUUAAGAAUCCUUACGGCUUCAAUCUCCUUUUUUUUCAUCAAUAUAUCUCAAUCCUAAGAAAUAAAAACAGAAAUUCGAUUUGUUAAAUUGAUCAUUCUUUUCCACUUUUAAAAUACGAUCCCGUGCAUCGCACGUGGGAAAAAUGCUAGUAUAUACUAAAGGCAUUAAUCUUUUAUUUAUUUUUAUUAUUUGUUGUCAUAGCACAUAAAUUUUUUGCAGCAUAUAUAAAGAUAUUAUUACACAUUUAUUACAACAUCAGUUUAUCACUCGGACCUUUUUUCUUUUUUCUACUCUUGCAACCUAAACUGACGAAGCCCGGAUUCUUCAAUCGACCUCGACAUAAACUUGGAAAUAUAAUCCAUCACCGUAAACUCCUUAUACCGAGGUGGAUUCUUCUCCGAUACCAACUCCUUAAUCGGAGCAUACACAUUUUCCGGCGAAGAACUACCGGAGAAGAAUCCAGCAACAGAAAUUCUCGGCCCAACUGUGUUCGCAACAACUCUAUGAUCCAUGCUUAUGAACUCAUCGUUCGUAAUCAUCUGCAAAAAAAUAAAAAAAAUCCAAAAAUUCAAAUUUAUUUUUUACGUUAGUAAAAUUGGAAAAAAAAAUUCACUAAAAAUAAUUAGAAGAACCUGCAACAUGUCUCCAAUAUUGACUAUUAAACUUCCGGCGAGGGGUUGUACAUUUACGUACUGAUUUUGAUGAAGAAUUUGUAGUCCGCCAAUUUGGUCUUGUAAUAGAAUUGUUAAGAAAGCCGGGUCUGUGUGGGCCCCGGCGCCCAUAGUAAGUUCUGGCUCGGGGCAGGGUGGAUAAUAGUGGCCGAUGAAAGUGCGCCCUUUGCCACAUUCGAUGGAUGCUAGGUGUUCGGGUUUUAGGCCAAGAGCUUCCGAUAGCAACUCAAGUAAAGUUUGUGCUAGCUUCGUGGCUUCAUUGAUGUACUCGAUUGUUGAAUCCCUUUAAAAUUGAAGGUGAAAAUGAGUUUAUAAGGUCAAGUUUCUAAUAGUGCUGAAAAAAUCGUACGAACAACCCAAAUUACAGAAAUAAAAUCCGUAUUUCCUAAUAAACAACAUAUUAAGCUCCUAAUUUUUUUUUUUUUUGCAAGAUUGGAUAGAUAAGGGUCUAAACAAUGUCGAAAUUCGUCGUAAUUUCGAGUUUCUAUUCGCUUUCACUUAUGCACUUAGCACUAUUUGAAAUCGUGGAUAGAUUACCAUUAUAAUUUGUCUCUUUCGUCGAUAAUAGUAUCUAAUAUUUGAGGCAAGUUCAAUUAGAUGAGUUGGAUUAGAUUGAAUUGCAGCAAUUUCGUACUAGUUAACUAAUUAAUUUCCUUAGUAAGAUGUAUGAAUUUUUAUAAUCUUAGACGUAAUACAACCAUAUAGGUGCACUGGGUAACCUACACUAUCGUAUAAUAACUUGUAAACCAUACGGAAGACGCAAACCAUAUUAAGCUAACCACGUGUGACAAACUCGACCUAGCGACCGUUGGCAAACGGAUUCGAAUUGGAGUCAACUGACACAAACUCACUUGCUCCAACGGCUAAAUCAUCCCGUGCUCGAACGAUUUUGAAGCUGAAGUAUUUAAUCAAAUUGGACCUACAUGAACUAAAUAUUUGUGUUUUUUUGUACUUUGAUUAACCAAUUUUCGUGAAUAAUAUAUAGGGUUAAAUACAGUUUACACCCCUAAUGUAUACCAUCUGUAACACUUACCAUCAUAAAGUAUCAUUUGUAACACUUAGCCCCCUCAAACUCAAUUCAAUUUGUAUUUUAAAUCCUAAUACCUUAAAUUGUUUAUUUUUUAUUUUAAAUAAUAACUAAAAGAAUAAUUAAAUUAUACAACUAAAAAUAUCUGUUGAAAAAUCAAUAUUUUAAAAUCAAGAAGAAAAAAAAAAAAAAGGAAAUUGACCUGCAAAUUUGAGGCAAGUCAAGGGGUUCAAUGGGGUCAAAAUUGGGCAAAGAAACGGUCAACGAGUCCCUCCAAUUAGCAGCAGUUGACCGAUACAGAUCGACGUUGCUCGAGUACUUGACCUUCUUCAUCAAAUCACGAGAAUGAAACCCUAGCUUCACAUCGGCAUCUUCCUCGUGGAAUCUUUUGAUUCCGUCCAGCAUACCUUCUAGAACAUUCUCGGAGAUUCCGUGGUUCACCAACUGGAAAAAUCCCCAAUCUUUCGAUGCGCGUUUCACUUGGCCGACGAUUUUCUUGUGUUUGUCGUCGUCUUCUCCGAUUCCACUGAGAUCUAUUACAGGGAUAUGUAGCUGAGUGUUGUUGGAGUACUUCUGAUCGGCGGCGAUCUCGUCGGACGGCCUGAUGAAGAUUCUCGGAAUAUUCCUUAUGCCGGAGUCGAUGAGUCCUUUGACGCCGGCUUUCGUUUCGUCGAAAGCCUUCAAAUCUUUGAUGCGAUCGUACUUUUGUGUUGUUGCCUCUGGUAGAGAGUCUUCUUUCAUGCUUGAGAUCAUGUUCAUUUUUUUUUGUAGGAAAUGUUUGAAUUGAAAUUAAUUGUAGGAAAUGUUUCACUUUGAGUCUUAUAUUUAUCAUUUUAUUUAGCGUUCGGAUAAGAUUUGCUUGCAUCCUUGAAAGACAAAUAGUGUGUGUUUUCGGUGUAGUGUGUGUAUAUUUUUUUAAUGUGUUUUCAAUGUAGUGUGUAAUUGUUUUUAUUGUGUGUUUUCGGCGGAGUGUGUAUAAUUAUUUUUAGUGUAUAUUUUCGGUGUAGUGUGUGUAAAAACUUUGUCAUUAUCAAAAUCACUAAGAACUGUAUACUUAUAGUACACAGGUUUUAGUUAAAAUUAGUGCAACGUCCAAACAAUUAUUUCACGAUCAAAAUCACCAAAAACUGUAUACUAUAAUACACAUAUUUUUGGGUAGACUUGGUGGAACGUCAAAAAAAAAAAAAAUCACGAUCAAUAUCACAAAAAACUGUAUGCUACCCAAAUUUUGGUUAAAAUUGGUGUAACGUCCAAAAAAACUAUUUCACGAUCAAUAUCACCAAAAAUUGUAUGCCAAAUUUUGGUUAAAAUUGGUGUAACGUCCAAAAAACUAUUUCACGAUAAAAAUCACCAAAAACUGUAGACUAUAAAACACAAAUUUUAGUUAACAUUGGUGGAACGUCAAAAAAACUAUUUUACGAUCAAAAUUCAUUGUGUUUCGAUAGUUUAACAUUUUUGGUCUUUUUCGUCAAUUUACCGUUAGUUCGUCAGUUAAGACAAUCAUCAGUACACGCUUGAUUCCGUUGGUACUAACAAAAAAUUGACGGAAAUAACUAAAAAUGUUGAAUUUUUGAAAUAUGAGGGACCAAAUAUUUUUUUUAUAAACACGAAGGACCAAAUGUGGAAUCCGUUCAAAUUUUAGAGGUGAAAACUAAAAAUUUUCCUAUUUACUUUUGUCUACCUAACAUUUAAUUGUCAAACAACUUGAGGAGAUUGACUAUUAAACGCUCUGACUUUGUACGAAUUUUCUUUUAGCGGAGAAAUUUCUUUAACUCGGAAAUUCUAUGCAAUUUCAUUAAAGUGUUUUAUUGAAUAAAAUUGGAAAAUUUCUUUCGAUUUUCAACUGUUUGAAUUUAAUAUGAGCUCCGUCCCAAAUAAUUCAAUUCACGUCUAAAAGUCUAAGAGUCAAAGGUCAGGCAUGGCGUCUGUCGGAAGAAGUCAAUGGAAAUGUGUAAAUAUAAAAACUAUUGGGAACCAAAAAAACUAUUUGAAGAUAUGCUAUUCGAACAUUUUUAUAAGUUUUUUGAAAUUGCAAAAUGGCCCAUAAGGUGUUCGACAGGUCUCCUCGAGCGUCGGACACGAAACCUGUUCGAAAAGCGGAAACAUUAUGAAGUUGAAGUUCCCGUACGUGCUGCAUAGUUUAAAAGUUAAAACACACACACAAUCUAUUCUUACAUGAUAUUUUAGUAUAAGUUUUUACAAAUUCCAUAAUUUCAGUCUCAAUGAAUGAUUUUAUUCACACCUUGUAAUAAUCGAGACCACGAUAAUCGUCCAGUCCAGCUUUGAAAAAUCUGGAAAUAUAUUCACCCAACACAAUAUCUCUGUACAUUGCCGGAUUUUCUUGCGAUAUCAUCUCUUUUAUGGGGCCGUAAAUCUUAUUCCAAUUAUUUAUAUUUCCCGAGAUAAAACACGCCACGGAUAUUCUCGGUCCAACGCAGCUAGUUAUUGCUCU
rnacentral:lncRNA from 1 species